UUUCCAACUUUGUACAAAAUUAAAAAAAAAUUAUCAAAAUUUCAAACUUUUUAAUCAAAAUUUUUACAAAAAUUUCCCGUGCUUUUGACAUGGGUAAAAAUGCUCAGCAUCUUAUGGAAAAAAUAUUGCCAAAAAUCAAUCAGAUAUUUGAGCUACUUCAAAGUUGCACUUUAUUGUACUAAAAAUUUUGAUUAAAAAGUUUGAAAUUUUGGUGAAGUCUUCUAAAUCUUGUGGAAUGCUGUUAUGUUGUUACAGUUUGAACUAUAUUAAAAAAAAAAAUAUUUUUUUGUUUUAUUUACAAAAUUCGACCUAAUAUUUAUUUAAGUGGUGGUAAGGUUUGCGUGGCCUCGAGUGUAUACAUAUAUUUUUGAGAGAAAUUACGAGUUUGAAAAGUUAUUUACAAAUGUUUGGUAUAGUUGUGAAAAAAGCAAUAACAGCAACUGCAUUUUGGGCACGAAAAUUCCGCCCCUGUCCGGACUUUGACAGACUGAUGAAGAUGCUUAACCCCGAGUCUUUGAGUCGUUUCGACUGCCUGCCAUAUGGUUUUUGCAGCGAGUACUCGUUGGAAUUCACCAUGGUUGGAGAAUUGGUGCAAAAGCACAGUCUUCUGUAAAGACACCGUUUGUUACCGGUGAUGCAAGUACCAGAAGAGUCGCUUGGCUAUCUGAAUAAAUGUAUGCUUUUCGUACUCCGCUUGGAAGUUGCUAGCAGAGUUCGGUAGUGGGAACGGAA